UACGAAGGGGGCGAGCGUUGUUCGGAAUCACUGGGCGUAAAGGGUGCGUAGGCGGCGUGGUAAGUCGGAUGUGAAAUCUCGGAGCUUAACUCCGAAACUGCAUUCGAUACUGCCGUGCUUGAGGACUGGAGAGGAGACUGGAAUUUACGGUGUAGCGGUGAAAUGCGUAGAUAUCGUAAGGAAGACCAGUGGCGAAGGCGAGUCCCUGGACGACUUCUGACACUGAGGCACGAAAGCUAGGGGAGCAAACGGG
rnacentral:rRNA from 1 species